rnacentral:rRNA from 1 species
UAUGAAGGGUGCAAGCGUUACUCGGAAUUACUGGGCGUAAAGCGUGCGUAGGUGGUGAGUUAAGUCUGUCGUGAAAGCCCCGGGCUCAACCUGGGAAUGGCGAUGGAUACUGGCUCGCUAGAGUGCGGUAGAGGAGAGUGGAAUUCCCGGUGUAGCAGUGAAAUGCGUAGAGAUCGGGAGGAACAUCAGUUGCGAAGGCGGCUCUCUGGACCAGCACUGACACUGAGGCACGAAAGCGUGGGGAGCAAACAGG